UACGAAGGGGGCUAGCGUUGUUCGGAAUUACUGGGCGUAAAGGGUGCGUAGGCGGCACAGCAAGUCGGGAGUGAAAGCCCGGGGCUCAACCCCGGAAUGGCUUUCGAAACUGCUGAGCUAGAGUACAGAAGGGGCAACCGGAAUUCCCAGUGUAGCGGUGAAAUGCGUAGAUAUUGGGAAGAACACCUGAGGCGAAGGCGGGUUGCUGGGCUGAUACUGACGCUGAGGCGCGAAAGCCAGGGGAGCAAACGGG
rnacentral:rRNA from 1 species